UUUUGUUCAUUGUUCAUCUAAGUCUCUGUUCGGUUAAAAAUUUUUCUAGGUUAGAACAUUAUAGCUAUAUUUGAUGGUUUGUGUACUAAUUUUGCCAGGAAAUUAACUAAAAAUUUUGUUAAUCUAAAACCUAGUUUUAGUUGUAAUUGUUCCGGUGUUGGUAGUUGUAAUUGUUCACCUAAUAUGUAUUUUGUUCUAGAUUUUGUUUGUUUAGUUUCGUACUAAAAUAGAGACUUUUGCACACAAUAACACUUUAAUUGUUAAUUCAAAUUUUAAUCUGUACGAAAUUUGGGUUUUACAACUUUUUUUUUUAUAUAUAAAAUUGUUGUGUUUUUGUGCAGGCCAAGGUUUUAGAUAGUUUAGCACAAUAGUAGAAGCCUUAAAAAGCAAGCCAGGUUUACAAAAUUACCAUAAAGAACAAAAACAUACAACCUGACCCCAUUAGGAAGCAUAUCAUAGAAAGACUUAGUAGCAUUACAUUUUGUCCAACUUAACAACUAAAGUCUCAAAGUCUUUUAUAAAUAAAAGACUGUCUGGCCUAAGAAUUACAUCACCAAAAGGAUCCUGUAAAUAAAACAAAUAAAUUGAAUUCUUAUUCAAUUUAUAAAUAAGAAAACAGGAUAUGUGUGCAAGUAUAUAAACCUCAUGCUCAUGAUCUGUGAUGUUGAUUUCAGAGUCAUUGUUCCCACAAUGCUUAAUUUACAACAGCAGCACCUUCACAUAUAUAGAAAUUCAAAAUUCAAAAUUCAAAAUCUGUUAGUGAGAAAAAAAAAACAUUUAGAAUUGUUACCUAAUCCAAAUUUUCCUCUGUUUUGUUAGACUCAAGUUGUGAGGAUAGGUCCUUAUGUCCAGCAAUUCAAAUCAAUAGGCAUCCACCAUGCAGGCCAUUUAUGAUUUUUAUAACAGUAAAGAAAUGCCUUGCAAAUAUCAUGUAAGGUAUGUAUGUCAAGAUACUACCAAAGAGAAUAUAAUAAAACCAAUUCACUCUCUUUCACUUUCUUUGCCAUUCCAAGAGUUACUAUUGAACUGUCUGGCCAUUCCAGAUCUAUGUAUACUGCUUUUUAAGAUCCUUAAAUGUUGUUAAAAGUAUGCAUUAGUUAACUGUUAACCCGAAUUUCAGUAAACUGCAUCUCAAAUACCUUAGUUAGAUAACAGUUUUUUUAUAUAUUUUUUUGUCUGACUUGAAGAUAGACAUAGAUUUUGUAUAUUGAUAAUCUGGAAUUCAACUUGUAUGUUAGCUUAAUGACUUAACUGGUAGAUAAAUUCUUUCUAUAUGUGCUACAAUUUAAAACUGUUAUCUGUGAGAUUUUAUACAUUAUAUAAGAGGUGCAGUAGAAAUUAGAGCACGGGAUUACCUUUGUGUGAUCCAUAUGUGAGCCAAUUGUAUACUCAUAAUUUUUCAACUGAAAUGCAACAAAUUGUACACUUCAGACUUCAAUUGGCGAUGGGCACAGAGUAUACAAUUGGGCUAAUUGGACUCAAAGGAGUAUAAAAUUCCAGGUACUAAACUUCCCUAAGAAAAAUGCAGAAUCACUGAGAUGGAAGUAUACCAUAGUAUUUGUCUGCUUCCUACAGAGUUGAUAAUCUCUUUUCCUUUUUGGUACCUCAAUAUUCUCAAGUAGCAGCCUUGAACAAAUUAGAUGAAGGGCACAGUAUUGGGGAUGCAAACAACAUCUGUGUAACUGAGAUACUUAACAAUAUUUCAAAAUGGAAGAUGUUUUGCAGCCGGCUCUUUUGGAUAUGAAAGUUUCGGCGGCCACUCAUCAUACAGACGUUUUCCCCGCUGUUUCCUUUCCGGCGAGUCUGGUAUCACUGCUGCCCUGCUCUUUACUUUCCGUCGAGACUGGUAUCACUGCUGCCCUGCUCUUUACUUUCCGUCGACUGGUAUCACUGCUGCCCUGCAUGACCUAGUGUUUGUAUUGAAGACUGAAACUUUGAUAGUCUUUGUAUUGGAGAGAAAGUGUGUAUAUAUAUAGAUAUUUAGAUAGAAUUGCUUCCCUAUUGUUAGUUAACGA